UAGUGGCGAACGGGUGAGUAACACGUGGGCAAUCUGCCCUUCACUCUGGGACAAGCCCUGGAAACGGGGUCUAAUACCGGAUAACACUCUGUCCUGCAUGGGACGGGGUUAAAAGCUCCGGCGGUGAAGGAUGAGCCCGCGGCCUAUCAGCUUGUUGGUGGGGUAAUGGCCUACCAAGGCGACGACGGGUAGCCGGCCUGAGAGGGCGACCGGCCACACUGGGACUGAGACACGGCCCAGACUCCUACGGGAGGCAGCAGUGGGGAAUAUUGCACAAUGGGCGAAAGCCUGAUGCAGCGACGCCGCGUGAGGGAUGACGGCCUUCGGGUUGUAAACCUCUUUCAGCAGGGAAGAAGCGAAAGUGACGGUACCUGCAGAAGAAGCGCCGGCUAACUACGUGCCAGCAGCCGCGGUAAUACGUAGGGCGCAAGCGUUGUCCGGAAUUAUUGGGCGUAAAGAGCUCGUAGGCGGCUU
rnacentral:rRNA from 1 species